rnacentral:rRNA from 1 species
ACGGGUGAGUAAUACAUCGGAACGUGCCCUGUAGUGGGGGAUAACUAGUCGAAAGAUUAGCUAAUACCGCAUACGACCUGAGGGUGAAAGUGGGGGACCGCAAGGCCUCAUGCUAUAGGAGCGGCCGAUGUCUGAUUAGCUAGUUGGUGAGGUAAAGGCUCACCAAGGCGACGAUCAGUAGCUGGUCUGAGAGGACGAUCAGCCACACUGGGACUGAGACACGGCCCAGACUCCUACGGGAGGCAGCAGUGGGGAAUUUUGGACAAUGGGCGAAAGCCUGAUCCAGCAAUGCCGCGUGUGUGAAGAAGGCCUUCGGGUUGUAAAGCACUUUUGUCCGGAAAGAAAUGGCUCUGGUUAAUACCUGGGGUCGAUGACGGUACCGGAAGAAUAAGGACCGGCUAACUACGUGCCAGCAGCCGCGGUAAUACGUAGGGUCCAAGCGUUAAUCGGAAUUACUGGGCGUAAAGCGUGCGCAGGCGGUUGUGCAAGACCGAUGUGAAAUCCCCGAGCUUAACUUGGGAAUUGCAUUGGUGACUGCACGGCUAGAGUGUGUCAGAGGGGGGUAGAAUUCCACGUGUAGCA